rnacentral:rRNA from 1 species
CAGUGGCGAACGGGUGAGUAACACGUGAGCAAUCUGCCCUUGACUCUGGGAUAACUGCGGGAAACUGUAGCUAAUACCGGAUAUUACCUUGGAAGGCAUCUUCUGGGGUGGAAAGAAUUUUGGUCAAGGAUGAGCUCGCGGCCUAUCAGCUAGUUGGUGAGGUAAUGGCUCACCAAGGCGACGACGGGUAGCCGGCCUGAGAGGGUGACCGGCCACACUGGGACUGAGACACGGCCCAGACUCCUACGGGAGGCAGCAGUGGGGAAUAUUGCACAAUGGGCGCAAGCCUGAUGCAGCAACGCCGCGUGAGGGACGACGGCCUUCGGGUUGUAAACCUCUUUUAGUAGGGAAGAAGCGACUGGGUUUUCCUGGGAGUGACGGUACCUGCAGAAAAAGCACCGGCUAACUACGUGCCAGCAGCCGCGGUAAUACGUAGGGUGCAAGCGUUGUCCGGAAUUAUUGGGCGUAAAGAGCUCGUAGGCGGUUUGUCGCGUCUGCUGUGAAAACCCGAGGCUCAACCUCGGGCCUGCAGUGGGUACGGGCAGACUAGAGUGCGGUAGGGGAGAUUGGAAUUCCUGGUGUAGCGGUGGAAUGCGCAGAUAUCAGGAGGAACACCAAUGGCGAAGGCAGAUCUCUGGGCCGUAACUGACGCUGAGGAGCGAAAGCAUGGGGAGCGAACAGGAUUAGAUACCCUGGUAGUCCAUGCCGUAAACGUUGGGAACUAGAUGUGGGGACCAUUCCACGGUCUCCGUGUCGCAGCUAACGCAUUAAGUUCCCCGCCUGGGGAGUACGGCCGCAAGGCUAAAACUCAAAGGAAUUGACGGGGGCCCGCACAAGCGGCGGAGCAUGCGGAUUAAUUCGAUGCAACGCGAAGAACCUUACCAAGGCUUGACAUAUACCGGUAACGCCUGGAAACAGGUGCCCCGCAAGGUCGGUAUACAGGUGGUGCAUGGUUGUCGUC